GACGAACGCUGGCGGCGUGCUUAACACAUGCAAGUCGAACGGAAAGGCCCUGCUUUUGUGGGGUGCUCGAGUGGCGAACGGGUGAGUAACACGUGAGUAACCUUCCCUUGACUUUGGGAUAACUUCAGGGAACUGGGGCUAAUACCGGAUAGGAGCUCCUGCUGCAUGGUGGGGGUUGGAAAGUUUCGGCGGUUGGGGAUGGACUCGCGGCUUAUCAGCUUGUUGGUGAGGUAGUGGCUUACCAAGGCUUUGACGGGUAGCCGGCCUGAGAGGGUGACCGGCCACCUGGGGCCUGAGAUACGGCGCAGACUCCUACGGGAGGCAGCAGUGGGGAAUAUUGCACAAUGGGCGGAAGCCUGAUGCAGCAACGCCGCGUGCGGGAUGACGGCCUUCGGGUUGUAAACCGCUUUCGACUGUGACGAAGCGUGAGUGACGGUAAUGGGUAAAGAAGCACCGGCUAACUACGUG
rnacentral:rRNA from 1 species